rnacentral:rRNA from 1 species
AACGAACGCUGGCGGCAGGCUUAACACUUGCAAGUCGAACGCACCUUUCGGGGUGAGUGGCAGACGGGUGAGUAACGCGUGGGAAUCUACCCUUCUCUACGGGAUAGCUCCGGGAAACUGGAAUUAAUACCGUAUACGUCCUGAGGGAGAAAGAUUUAUCGGGGAAGGAUGAGCCCUCGUUGGAUUAGCUAGUUGGUGGGGUAAAGGCCUACCAAGGCGACGAUCCAUAGCUGGUCUAAGAGGAUGACCCGCCACAUUGGGACUGAGACCCGGCCCAAACCCCUACGGGAGGCAGGAGUAGGGAAUAUUGGACGAUGGGCGCAAGCCUGAUCCAGCCAUGCCGCGUGAGUGAUGAAGGCCCUAGGGUUGUAAAGCUCUUUCAGUGGGGACGAUAAUGACGGUACCCACAGAAGAAGCCCCGGCUAACUUCGUG